GACGAACGCUGGCGGCGUGCUUAACACAUGCAAGUCGAACGGAAAGGCCCUGCUUUUGUGGGGUGCUCGAGUGGCGAACGGGUGAGUAACACGUGAGUAACCUGCCCUUGACUUUGGGAUAACUUCAGGAAACUGGGGCUAAUACCGGAUAGGAGCUCCUGCUGCAUGGUGGGGGUUGGAAAGUUUCGGCGGUUGGGGAUGGACUCGCGGCUUAUCAGCUUGUUGGUGGGGUAGUGGCUUACCAAGGCUUUGACGGGUAGCCGGCCUGAGAGGGUGACCGGCCACAUUGGGACUGGGAUACGGCCCAGACUCCUGGGGGGGGGAGCGGUGGGGAAUUUGGAAAAAUGGGGGGAAGCCUGAGGCAGCAACGCCGCGGGCGGGAUGACGGCCUUCGGGUUGUAAACCGUUUUCGCCUGUGACGAAGCGUGGGUGCCGGUAAUGGGUAAAGAAGCACCGGCUAACUACGU
rnacentral:rRNA from 1 species